GAUGAAAACCAAAUAGGAGAUACAUGGAUGCACUAUACGUGAAGCAUUGACCUCGAGGAUGUCCUUUCAUUGGAGCUUUGCAUUUAGUACAUUUGCGAGUACUUUUAUUCCCACCAGCUUAAAGUCUUUUGUAAAGAUGUAAGUUUUUUCUUAAGACGAUGGCACGAUUUACAUGGA